rnacentral:tRNA from 1 species
GCUCCCAUCGUCUAGUGGUUAGGACGCCACUCUUUCAAGGUGGAAACCGGGGUUCGACUCCCCGUGGGAGCA